UCGAAACACCAGUUCCUGUAUGAACAUCGAAGUUAAGCAACGUCGAGCCUGGUCAGUAUCUUGAUGGAUGACUGCUUGGGUAUACCAGAUGCUGUAAG